GGUUCAAAGUGGGUGGAUUUGGGGGGAGAUAAGUCCAAGGACUAUUGGAGCAUGCACCAAACAAAUAAGGUUGAUAUACAAAUAUGACUAGUCCUUCACCUUACUCCAUAAAUAAGGGACAGUCCAGAUCCCAUUGAGCUCUUCUGCUGCAUGCUGGAAUCUUCCCCUGGAACAGGGACAUCUCUCAAGGUUACUCCUUGAGGCUGAGAGAUUCUAUGCCUGUGACAGAUAGUCAUUGACUAAUAGCUAGCUCAUUGAGACUUUGCAAGUAAUUUGCUAAGCAUGAUGAAACUUUGUAAUCUUAGCUAAGUGAUAUAAAGGAUUGGUUGUGCAUAUGAUUCUUUAGGUAUCAGCUCUUAAGUCUGGGAUUGUGUUGUAUCUAGACUCGCUCCUUGGAGUUUGGACGGCAAGAGGGGCUCCACUCUGAACCUUGUGACUCAAGAAGGAAGACAAAUUUAUCAAGUAUGUUUUGUGUCACUUUACCAGCCUUGCUUUGCUGAAUGCCCUCACCUGCUCUGGGGAUCUCAGCACCCGACCUUUCCUCUCCCACUUGAUCUCUCCCUUCUUCCUUCUGGGGAUCUAACGUAGGAUUUUAUGUCCUUGGACCAAGGUGACAAAGAGUCCUGAAAUGCAAAAUAACACCUUCUCGGAACAUGCACAUUGGAUAUGUAUUUGGACACAAAGAGAGAAAACUGCCUCUCAGAAAACAAACACUUAAUUGGUGAACUGUAGUAGGUUAGUUAUAUAUUUCAAAAAGUGCCAGAUUUGAAAUAUUCAUUUGUUCAAGUCAACAGACUGUGGAUGUGCUUUGUGUCUGGAAUUUGCUAAAUAAAGUCACAAUCAAAAAAAUACUGAUUCUCA
rnacentral:lncRNA from 1 species